CAGUCAGUCAGUCCUUCAUUCGUUCAUUCAGUCAGUCGUCCAGCCAGCCAGCCAGCCGUUUCCUACUUCUGUUCUGUUUGUUCACUCCAUCGACAAUAAACACCCACCUUCACCUACCUACCUGUGAGUCCAGCGUUUGGGUCCUCCUUCUCUCAUCCACGCCUCCACGACACAAACCCCUGACACCGUGGGGGACAACAUUUCCCAUAAUGCAUUGUAUUCUUGCCCGGGAAGUUGACGGUGGCAGUUCUAGCUCCAUGCGUUUGAACUUUCUGCCAAAACUUUCUACUGUCCGUUUCUACCGGUUGUCGUAUUCGCUGGUAAUGCACGUGCGUAUUUUUAGAGGGGUAUUCCACUAAGCGAGCUCUACAAGUCAAGGCUGGGCAGUGGGUCCAUGAAUAAACUGCCUCACUCCUGCAGGUGUCUUUCCAUACUUCCCAUCGUUCAAGAACCAAAAGAUGGCUGCUGCCCAGAAGCAUGUGCUGCGUGUGUAUGUUGAACGAGACACCGCCCUGAAACUUACUCUACUUCAGCGACCAA